UACAGAGGGUGCAAGCGUUAAUCGGAAUUACUGGGCGUAAAGCGCGCGUAGGUGGUUCGUUAAGUUGGAUGUGAAAUCCCCGGGCUCAACCUGGGAACUGCACUCAAAACUGUCGAGCUAGAGUAUGGUAGAGGGUGGUGGAAUUUCCUGUGUAGCGGUGAAAUGCGUAGAUAUAGGAAGGAACACCAGUGGCGAAGGCGACCACCUGGACUGAUACUGACACUGAGGUGCGAAAGCGUGGGGAGCAAACAGG
rnacentral:rRNA from 1 species